GCGAGAUUGAUGAAACGGGUAGACAUGUUGGACUCAAAAUCCAAUGCCGAGAGGCGUGAGAGUUCGAAUCUCUCAUCUCGCACCA
rnacentral:tRNA from 1 species